GAACUGCGAUACGUAGUGUGAAUUGCAGAUGUCUGUGAAUCAUUAAAAUUUUGAACGCAAGAGGCGCCGCCAAUAACGGCAUGCUUGUUCCAGCGUUGGUAACAACGAAACUCACCCAUCACGGGUGGUGGUGAGGAUUCUCGCGCCGGGUUCACUCGGCGAGAGUGCCUCAAAGUGAAUCCACGAUGGGACGCACAAAGAUGGGUACAUACUCUUCUCUGCGCCAAAUGGGAGGUGUUCUCAGGUGCCUCGUAGCACACUCUAACAUCUCUCAGCAGAGCACGGGUCCAUCGCGAUUCUCGGUCGUGUAUCAUUCUCUCUUGGGGAAGCGUUCACUCGCAGCUCUGAGAGCGAAAUCACUCGAAAAUCAACCUCGAAUCAAGCAAGACUACCCGCUGAACUUAA
rnacentral:misc_RNA from 1 species